UACGAAGGGGGCUAGCGUUGCUCGGAAUUACUGGGCGUAAAGGGCGCGUAGGCGGAUAUCUAAGUUGGGGGUGAAAUCCCGGGGCUCAACCUCGGAAUUGCCUUCAAAACUGGAUAUCUUGAGUAUGGAAGAGGUAAGUGGAAGUUGCGAGUGUAGAGGUGAAAUUCGUAGAUAUUCGCAGGAACACCAGUGGCGAAGGCGGCUUACUGGUCCAUAACUGACGCUGAGGUGCGAAAGCGUGGGGAGCAACAGGG
rnacentral:rRNA from 1 species